rnacentral:rRNA from 1 species
AUUGAACGCUGGCGGCAUGCUUUACACAUGCAAGUCGAACGGUAACAGGGAGCUUGCUCCGCUGACGAGUGGCGAACGGGUGAGUAAUAUAUCGGAACGUGCCCAAGAGUGGGGGAUAACGUAGCGAAAGUUACGCUAAUACCGCAUACGAUCCAAGGAUGAAAGCAGGGGACCGCAAGGCCUUGUGCUCCUGGAGCGGCCGAUAUCUGAUUAGCUAGUUGGUGAGGUAAAGGCUCACCAAGGCGACGAUCAGUAGCUGGUCUGAGAGGACGACCAGCCACACUGGGACUGAGACACGGCCCAGACUCCUACGGGAGGCAGCAGUGGGGAAUUUUGGACAAUGGGCGCAAGCCUGAUCCAGCAAUGCCGCGUGAGUGAAGAAGGCCUUCGGGUUGUAAAGCUCUUUUGUCAGGGAAGAAACGGUCGUGGCUAAUAUCCACGGCUAAUGACGG